rnacentral:misc_RNA from 1 species
AAAGUCGUAACAAGGUUUCCGUAGGUGAACCUGCGGAAGGAUCAUUACUGGUAAGGGGGUGAGCUGGCGUAACGCACAGUGCUCCCCCAUUCAUAUACACACCGUGCACUUUGGGACGAGCGUCCCUAUUAUAAAUGCCUGUCUUAUGCAUGUCAAUGUACCCUUAGGGGGAAUUAUAAUAACUUUCAACAACGGAUCUCUUGGCUUUU